rfam:Anas platyrhynchos breed Pekin duck contig3614, whole genome shotgun sequence.
GCUGCCCUGCGAGUUGCUGUCCUCCAGGUCGCUCUGGCAGCCCUCGUCGUUGAGCGAGCUCUGCUUGGUGACCUUUG